GUAAUUGUCAGGAUUACUGUUUGAUCCAGCACGUAGAACUGUACAGCACGGAUGACAAAUAAGUAACGUAUUACCGGUCCUUAGAAUGGCCGGAUUUAACGUACAAAGAAUAGUCAAAAAUACUAGCGAGGUCAGGGAACACAGAAAGGGACACAGCGAUGAGGAAAGCCAGGAGUCAGGAUACCAGAAUAUAGAGAAGUCAAUAAACAAAGCCAAAGUCAAAAACCAGGUAGAAAACUAUAAACAGGAACGCGUUCUCAGACAACCACAAGGGGAACCACGACAGGGCACUGAGCAGGCUGAGAACUGGGC
rnacentral:lncRNA from 1 species